AAUGUAAUCGAUAAAUUGGUCUCUUCUAACUCUCGAUUGUUUUCUAAGAUGGAGAAUGGAGUAAGAAUUGAAUGGUGUGACAAUUGCAAGGCACAGGCAAAUUUAGUCGGCGGCAUCAGGUUUUCAACCCGACCCUCAUUGGCAAAAAAUUAUACUAUACCAAUGAGGUGUGUGACUCUAAAGAAAGCAUUGUGUGCUUAGACUCUCAUCUUAAGUUAUUAAUUUUAAAGAAGCAGACUAUUAAGGUUUUUCCCGAAGAAUGCUCGGGAACAUGUGGUAUUUAAAAGUGUUGAAGAAACCAAUAUGAUGUUUGAUGUUUUUUCGUCUUGUUGUUACACUAUUUGUCGCUAAUAUCCAAACAACUUGUAAGUACAUUAUUUGUAUUCUGAGUCAAGCUAUAAACACUUGAUUCAGUCUGUG